GGAGUUGAAGCCACGUCUAUUGCUCAGUGUGAGUCACACUUCACUGCAGCAAACAUUCAGCUCGUGGCAGCUUUUCCCCCUGCAGUGUCUCCCACCUCAGCACCUUGAUUCUCUCUCUCUCUGAAGAAGAUGGAAGAGAGUUCCACCACACUACAGGCUCAGAAGCCUUUUUGAAGUCUUGCUCCUACCUCUGUCAAGAAAGUCUUCUGCGUUUCCUCAUCACAGCGAAUCAGCUCCUUCAUCACCAUCACCUUUCCCGUUGCUUUGUGAGUCACCUGGUGGAAAGAAAACCCACAACUACAGGCAAGGUUCAAGCAUACACAAUUCCAAUGCUCCUGCAUCUCUUCUGAAAGAGAAGGUAACAUUCCCCUCCAUCCAGAGAGGAGGAACAGAGGUGGGAGAAAAUUCAGAGGCCAGGGAUCUGCUCAAACCUGCAUGAAAUUUCUCCUUUUGGAAUUCAGCAGAUUCUGUUUGUGAAAGAGAAACUACCUAAAGCUGACAGAGGAUCAUGCCAAGAACCAGAGCUGAAGCCUCUUCUGGGUAGCACAGUGCUGAGCAUGCACACAGGCUGCCAAAGCCUCUGGAGGCACCAGUUCCACACUGGUGCAAUCCUCAAGUUCCCUUUGGGAAGCAUUUGCCCACCAUGGUGCUCAUAUCUUGUACACAGACCCCAACAACUCCAUUCUGUAUCAGCACAGGAAUCAACGUUCACUUGCAUCAGAUACCAAACCAAAGAACCCAAAACUACCUUACACAUGCUUUGGUUUUAUGGGGAAUCUCAAACUCAUCCACGUGCAAGCAGAACUGGGAUGCACAGGCUGUUCAGGCAGGAAGCAGUUAUUUUACCUUGCUCCUCUGGAACAGUGUCCUGCUGCCUACAAGGAAUGUCCCCAGAUGGUGGCAAACACAAGAAGAUCCACCAUAAUAAUAAGGUAAAAAGUUUCCUGGCUCUUGACAUGGAAAGCACUUCCAGUUCCUCGAGAACUUGUUUGCCUGUCUCCAGUUAGUUCCUGGCAUUUUGCUGUGUUCUAGAGGGUUUUUAACCAGCUCAGCCUUGCUUGCAUGAGGUGCCUGAGUGAGUAGAAAGGGUCCAAAUUCCAAUGAGCACAUUCUCCUGGACAUCCUCUCCCCUUCAGUUGCUUAACUUGGACAGCUCUGUCUCCCUAAGAUCUCCAGGGAACUAAACAACCACCUUGUCUCUAGGAACAGGAGGAACCUUUUUGACCAGCUAUAGUACUUGCUGCAUCAAACCCAGUCAAUCUGAAGCUUAAGAAAAGUGUCACUUUUUUUGCCUCCUACCCUUUAAAAUAAAAAGCCUUUCAGAAAACCUCCAGAACUGCAAUCCAGAACACAAGACCCUGUUGCAGCAUUUAGGAAGCUUAUGAGCUCUUGCAAACACUAAUUCUGUUUGGAACCAUGGAAUAUAACAAGGCUGGUAUAGGUGGAAUGUGAGUGUGGAAUAACAUGGAAUAACACAACAGAAGCAAGAGUACAAUAUUCUUCUGCUCCCAUCUGAAAUCAAGCAUCCAUACACAGGCAGCGAGCCAGGGAACACCACACAUUUCAGCCAGGGACACAAAAGCCAGAGACAUCUAAAACCCAAAGAAAAAGGGCAGUGAAGAGACAAAGACAAGGCUAAGUGGAAUUCUUAAGCUGACAUACCAGCAAAACUGAAACAAGUGUCAUCAUGAACCUCCAGGGGGGCAGUUUUAACUCCCAGAGCAUGCACCUGAACAGGAUGGCCAUGGGGCAGUUUGAGCAGAAAAGAAAUGCCUUUGUGCCAGUAACUGUGGGGACACAGGUGACAAAAACAUGCGACAGAGCAAAGGUUCCACUUACCUGCCCCUGUUAUUUCUCUAUGAGCAGAGGAGAAGAGAAAUAUGCUCAUUAGUAUGGAUCAAAAGCAGUGGGAUUGUAGAACUGGCACAUCACCUCCCAUGGAAGCAUGAGAUGCACAUGGUGGCUGGACACCUCAAGGUUAUACCCUUGUGCAUGUAAGGAGAGAAGUCCCAUAUCAUGGUGUGUGUAUCCUCAGUCCUGAGGAGCUCACAGCACCUUAACAAGGCAGAGGAAGCUGCCCCCUGGUGCCAGGCAUGUUGGGACAGGAAUUGCUGGAGCACACCCUGUCAAGACCCCAGAGCUUAAAUGCAAGAGAGCUGCUAUUGAUGGAGAAUUUAGCUGUGAGAGUCAUGCAAGACCUGACCGCUACCCUCACACUGACAAGAUAUGUAGGCUCUGCUGUGAGUUCAGAGAUGGUCACGACAUCAGCCUGGGAAAGCCCAAGCCUGCCACACUGAGGGUGGGUGAGAAAUGCUCAGGAGAGCUGAAUGCACCUCUGCAUAAGGAAGAUGCUUGUAAGAAGAGGUGUAGCCUGUCACCCAUUCUGUCUCCCUCACCCAGGCAGCUGCUGUGACACAGGCACUCUGGAGAACUAAAUCUAACUCAGGAGGUGAGCAUGUGUGGCCAAGGUUGACACUCAGAGGAGACAGUCAAAACCAUCUGCAGCCAGAGACACUCAGGGAAUGAAAUAGAAACGGAUCUCAGAGCAAACCAGGGAAGAUCCAAGACCAAUCACUCUCAGCAAGACAAAACACCACUGAGACAGUGGUGAAGGAUCCUGAGACAGGCCGGCAUUGCUGUAAUCAAAGUAAAUGAUGAAUGUCUGGGGACCUCCUCACCUUGAUAGCCUGUCCAAAAAAUCCUUUUCCUAGAACUUCGCCAUGAAUCAGGUCACAGGGCCGGAAGAUUUGCUGGGAGCAGCUGGAAGAGGAGCGCAGGGAUUCAGAACGACUGAUGUCACGGCUCAGCAGGAGCGGCUCCUUUGGAGAGCUGGGGCCAGGAGACUUGGAGAUGCUGUUACUUCGCCUAGAAAACAAAGAAGACAGGAGGAUCAGGGAAGCUGCUGGGGAAUGUCUGGUCCAACACAUCCCAUCAUUCGCUCCUAAGGGACCAGUUUCUAUGUGUCCUUCAGUGCUCUUAACAUCCCCAAAACCAGAUGCUCUCCCAGCACUGUGGAAGCUCUUUAUGAACCCAGAGCAGAUUCCGAGUCAGAGCUGCCUGACAACAACACACCUCCUGCACUGGCAGUCAGAGAUGGAGCUCUGGGAAAAGGGGAAGGAAACUGUGAAGACACAGCACUUGCUAUCUCUAAACAAAGAUUAAAACACUGGUAAAUGACUAAAUGAGCACCUGAGUGCCCUACUCUAGGAAGACAAGGUCUCAGUCAGAUUCCCCCUAAAGGACAUAUCCUUCCCCAGCCAUUUAAGGCUGGUAAAAAUCUGAACUUGACAUUUUCUAACUGUGAAACUUAGUAGCUUUUCUCUGUUAACAGUAGAGCUCCUUACUUCUAUGAAGGAAAGUUUGUCAUCCUGAAAGGGAAUGGAGAGAGUACACAUCAACAGCAGAACCCAAAGCUCCCCAUGGCUUCUCCAAUGAUUUAUCCCACUGCCCACAACAGAGAUAAGCCAUGUCCCCACAGUCAUGGCAGUCCCAGGGCCUGGGCACAGAGCUGCCCAGCCAGGGAGCACAGGGCAAAGCCAAGCCAGGCCAGAGGCAGUGCUUCCAAGUCUUCACCUGAGGGAGCGCCGUCGGAGCGUUCCUUCCAGGUUCUCCUUGAUGUCCAGUGGAGAGAGGGAGCGUGGGGAGAGGGGUGGCUUUAUGUGGGUGGGCAGGCGGGAGUCCAGGCGAAGCCUGUCCAGGCGCUGCGAGACGGGGUCGUGCUCGAUCAGCAGCUGAAGGGUCUGGCUGGUCUUGCGAAUCAAUUCCUCCACCUGAAGUCAAACCAAAGGACAGCACUUUAGCAGACAGGAGGAACACAAACAACAGGAGACAGAGGAGACACAGAGAGUGCCCCUCAGGAAACAGAGGAGCGAGUUCAGUGAGGUCACUCCAUAGUUGUGGUUUAGUUGUGUGCACCACAGCUGUCUGCCAGACAAAUCAGACCAGCAGCACAGAAGCUCCUUAUGCUGCCCAAUUCUUUCUGGCCAGCUACAAGUAACCUACACAGAAAAGAUGUGGACAGGCUGGAAAGGGUCCAAAGAAGGGCCACAAAGACAAUCAAAGGGCUGUGACGCUGCCACGUGAGAAAAGGCUGAGAGAAUGGGGUUUGUUCAGCCUUGAGAAAAGAAGGCUGAGGGGAGACCUUAUCGCCAUGUUCCAGUAUUUAAAGAGUGGCUACAAAGAAGAUGGAGACUCCCUUUUUACAAGGAGUUACGUGGAAAAUACAAGGGGUAACUGGUACAAGUUAAUCCUGGGGAGAUUCCAAUUAGACACAAAAGGACAGUUUUUCCCAAAGAGAACAAUCAGCCCUUGGAAUAAUCUCCCCAGAGAAGUGGUGAAUUCCACAACAUUGGACACUUUUAUGUUUCAGCUGGACAGGGUGCUGAGCCAUCCUCUCUGGACUGUCCUUUUGCCAAGAAAGAUUGGACCAGAUGAUCCUUGAGGUCUCUUCCAACCUGGUAUUCUAUGACUCUAUCAAAUGAUUUUCUUUUUCUGAUAAGUGUUCAAAAACUAUACAGGUUUCCACCUUGAACAGUGCUGUAAAAAACAGCUUUGAAAAAGCUACACAGAGAUUUAUCUGUGAGAUGUUUUGUGCUCCUUGUGUUCUCUUCAGCACCAACAAAAACUUCCCCCUAUGAUCAGCUGGGCCCUUGUGAAUUAGCAGUUGCCUCUCAAAGGCUCAGAAGAGUGCACUUCACUAGCAGUACAUGGGAAAGUCUUGACAGCCUCUCUGUCCUCUCUCACAGCCCUGGACUUUUCUUACUGCCUCCCUUUACAUUUGAAUGCCACAAAAUCAUUCCUGCAUCCUAAUUGCGUUUCCAUCUGUUACAUUUUCCUCUCCAGCUGGAAGGCAAAGCUUGUCCUCAUGUUUAUUCCUACUGUCAGCAUGAGUGCUAGGGCUGUACACACUGUGUGUAGGGCGGGAGAACAGUGUCAGGAAACAGAGAAGGUGUAGGAAGGCAGAGGAGAAGGAGGCUUCAGGACAGAACUCCACCCACCUCCUCCACCUGUAAGGUGCGAAUGGGAGCUCCGUUGAUCUCCAGGAUCCGAUCCGCAGGGUGGAUGGCAUUUCGGACAUCUGGGCUGAUGUGCAUCCUGUUAACUCUAAACAGGGGAAUUACAGUGUGUGUGAGAACUCAGUUUAGCCAAAAUUAUAAAAAAAAAGCUUCCCUUCAUAUUGGCCUUUUGCAAUAAACCAGUGCUAAUCUACCAGCACAGGGAGCUCCCACGAGACCGAGUGCUUAGGUCUGAGCUGGUUUGGAGAGAGCUCUCCAUGACCAAUGGCAAAAUUGUGAGUCCAUUACAAUCCUCCAAAUGUCUUGUGUCCAGUGCAGAAGACAGCACUGAGAGAUAAAAUUAUCAGUUAAGGUGGAUGAAAGACACUGAAAUGGAGACCGAACACAGGUGACAGACGUCCCUGCGACGCCGAGAUCCCCUCAGGACAGCAGUGCUGCAGGAUCUGUACCAGCUCCCCCUGCACAGACACGUACAUUGCACACAGCCUGGGCAUACUCACUCUUUCACCUGGACACCAGUGGCAUAGCUGGAGCAGCCCCCCUCCACAGACACGGAGAAGCCCCUCUUGCCAUCCGUGGCCGCGGGCAUGGAGAUGAGGGUCAGUGUGUAGGGCAGCUGCUCCCGCAGGGACUCCGUGGAGUGCUUUUCUAUCAUGGGUGUCAGCACGAUCUGGUUAUGGCAUUUCCCACUGAAAAAAGCGAAGAAAGUCAUCAUGGCAGUGUCCUGUCCCUCCCUGCCAAACUCACGCCUAAGUCCUCUCACUGACCACAAGCCACAGCUUUUAGUGCUUACACCAUUCCUUCUUCCCUCCCUCAAAAGGCAGCUUCCUGGCAUUCCUUAGAGUAGCAUUUGGCUGAACAGGGCUUACACACAGCGGGGAGCAGCUCCUCUUACCAGUAGAGAGUGGAAUGUUGCACCAGUGCAUAAGUGUCCCCAUCCUCGAUGAUCACUUUGCAGCUCAUACAAGCGAAGCACUCGGGGUGAUACUUGUAUUCGCCAGCCACCUACAGACAGAAAAGGGAGUAACUUAAGCACGGCCAAAAUCCAUCAGCAGAUGCAGCUCCUGCUUUCCUCUCUAAUUAAUGAGAUCAUUCACAGCUCAAAGUCAAGUAGCAGGUUUUUACUGGAGAGUUUUAUUAGUCCAUUCUGUCUUUCCUGAACCCCAUCCUUGGCACCUUGUUUGCAGAACUCUAAAACAAACGUGUCAGCACGAAGAGCAAAGCUUGUGUCCCAGGGACCUCUGCUAUAUUUGGCAGCUGCUCAGCUAUCAAAAAUAGUUGAUAGUCUGCUGGAGACUAGUAAACAAGGUAUUAAACCUUCCUGUUCAGUUGCUCUUGGCAAGAUAACUAAUGUUACGCCUGAAUUAAUAAAGCUGAAAGGGCUUUUUUUUUUGGCAGACAGGCAAUGCACAAAUUCAGAUGCUUUACCAGCCAGCUGACAGAGAAAGAGCAAACUGAGACUGAGACAAAAAAUACCUUUAAAGAAUAUUUUUACUCAUUGAUCUGUUUUUCUGUUUUCCUUAUGAGAAUUUCCUUUAUUGACAGUAUUCUGCAAAGACUUCUGCAGGCAACGAGAAAUUGUCUGCACAUUCCUCAGUGCUUCCCUUUGAGGUAGCAAUGGUAUCACUAAGUACCACAUUGCUUUUAUUUAGGCCCUAGAAAAAUAACGGUCAUGUUUCAUUCCUGACAGUUUUAUAGGUUAAAUAUUUGCAAGGUUGUGGCAGGAGGGGAACAUUUAGGUGAGCCCCAUAUUGGGCAGGCAGAGUUCAAUGCUUCAAAAGCAACUUCAAGCCCCAAAGUAAUUGGGGCUAACACUACUUCAAGACACCAUCAGCCUGAAAAACCACUCUGGCUGCAGCCCAGGUGGGACUUGGAUGGCAACAUUCCCCAAAACCAGAACCUGCUGCUUAUCCUGAGCUGAGAGGUUUGAUUCCACAGUGCAGUGGAAAAUCACCCUGUGCAAACACUGAGGCAUUCACUGUGCUACAGCAACUGAACACAUGUCCCCCAAAUCACUUUUCUGCUUCUCAAGCCUGUGCAUUUCAGCACUUUACUUUCUUUGUUCAUAUGCUUCAGAUCCUCACAGCUCCCCCAUUCAAAACUAAUCUUUAUCUAGAAGAUGCACACACAGUCUCCAUUGCUAUUCUUUGACUAGAGAAGCAAGGAGACUGUUACCUUCAGUUUAUUUGGUUAUCUUUAUACCUAGGACAACACCUAACUAAGUUUGAGGAGUUCAGGCAGGAAUCCUUCUGUCCUUACCAUCACAGGUCCAGUCAUCAGCAGAGAGCAGCCAUGGCAAGAUUCCCCAAACUUCCCCCAGUAGUCUUUGUGACAGUACAGCUUCCCAUCCUUCUCGUAGUACCAGUUAGUGAGGGGAUCCUGACAUUCAGAGCACCUUGAAGAAAACAAAGGAACAAAGUUCCACUUGGCAACAAAUCAACAAAAGAGGUCCUGUCCUGGUGGAGGACACAGACAUUCAGCAGCAGCUCACCAGCAGCUCUUCUAGCUAUGGAUGCACUAAACUCUCCUGUUUCUCAAUGCUCUUUCAGCUGAAAAUUACACCCAAACCUGAAAUUUGUAAGGAGAGGUGGAAUCCACCAGUACAAAGGAAAAGAAGCUUCCAAAGUGUAAAACAAAUCCCACACAUUAAAACACACCAGUAAGUUUAUAAAUUCUGCUUUAUAUUUUGCUCCUCUGAUCUCUCUCUUCCCGGAUGCAAGUUUCCAGCCACAGCGUUGCCCAGCACAGAGACAGCUUUGCUGUGUUCCUACUUGGUGUUUCUGUAGCAUCAACAAUCUUGUGCCAGAGCACUUGUCUCCUCAGCCAGUUUAGGAAGGGGCACAGAGAGGCAGGAUCCACUUCCCUAUGCAACACAAAGCCAGUUUUGCACCAACCUUUGUCGAGAGCUUUUCCAUUCUUCUGUAAGCAGACCUCUCCCAAAAGGUAAACUGCAGCACUCUGCAUUUGAGGGAGAGUUUUCAAAGCAGUUUGUCCCUUGACCUCCACACACUCACUGCACCCACCAGUUAACUCUGAGAAAAGUCCUCCACCUCUGCCCACCAACUGCUCCCUUCUGAUCAUAGUGCAUGAGAAAAUAAACACCACAGGCAAUCAAUGGAAAAAAAUCCUAAACAAAACCGUUUCUCUAAUUUCACGGAGUCUCAAAAUCCUUCACAUAUCAGUGUCAGCUCCUAUUUCCAAGCAACCAUUAUUAAUCCUCUAUCUACUUCUCCUCAACAAACAAACAAACAACUCUCCCCCCAAAAAAAAACCAAAAAAAAAGAAAAAAAGAAACAAGGAAAAAGAUGCAGCAAUUCUACUGCAGAUACCUUUUAGCAAUCACAAGCAGAACUCAGAUGUUCAGGCUUCCUGAGCACACAGUAAUCCUGCCUCUUCAGCAGCAGGGAGGUGUGACACAAUGCAGAGAUAAGGCACAGACAGCAGUUGCAUCACCAAAGAUUAUUCAUUAGCCCUGGGCAGCACGUUCUCAGACUUUAAAAGGAAAAUAAGUCUGGUGUUGGCCAUUCAUGAGCCGGAUCCCAGGCGGGUUAGUCACCAAUAACCAGUUCAGAGAAACACCUCGAGGAUCAAUGUCGUCAUUUCCCCAAAGGUGGAAGAGUUUCUUUUGCCUCUUACCCCAACACCUGUCCCAGUUACUACCCUGGGGUGGGGGUUUAGGUCGAUGGGGAUCCUCCCUCAGCACUCAGUGCACUGAGUGCACUCAGAGUCACUGGUGGCACUGGAGGUGCACUUUUUACAUGCUCCCAGGCUAAGAUGAGAGCUACUGUUGACUUCACCUCUCACAAGCUUCCCAAAAGCUUAUUUGUGCCAAAGACAUUCCUAGUAAACUUCACCAGUUGUAAUGAGCGUGAUGAUAUGUGAAGCUGGUUGGGCUCCAACACUGAGAGAGUUAUUUACUCCAUCUCAAGAGACUGCAAAGCAACUGGGUAAGGCUGCUCGUAAGCAGCCUUUGGUUUGAGGGGAAAACACCUCAUGAAGUAUUUAGUGCCGUACCCUACCCUCAGGAAGAUCACUCCUUCUAACAUAUUUGGCUUAUACAGUGUUUGCUCUCCCAGCUGAGGAGCAUCAAAUCCUGACCCCCCUCCAAGUGAUGGGAAAGAACUCCAGCAUGUGCAACAGGCCCUGCCAAUUUUGUCUGCAGCAGAGGGAGCAGUAAGUCAAGGCUGCUGUAGGUGGUACAUCCAUCACUGCAGCCCCAGCCUGGGGGCACUGCCGUGGUUACACCCUGCUCAUGGUAUGCAGGACACCCAGAGGGCAUGGCAGUGCAUUCUGCCUCCAACCACCGGCCUUUGGCUUCAUCUGCAGUAAAUACCCCUCGCUGAAUGAGCAAGGGGGUGAGUGGGAGGGAGAAAGAGCAAGUGGAGACUAACAGCAAAGAUUUCUAUCAUCUUGUGGCAGGAACAUCUGGCUCAGCACGGGCAGAUUGGAUCCCUCAGACUUAUCCAACUUCUGCAUGCAUGCCUGUACCAGUGUGUGCUCCACGAGUGAUUACAUCUUCCAACAGGGAGCUGUGACCAGACCUGCACUUAGGAUGCAGACAGCAAAGCUGGAGACUGCUCCACCAAGACUUCAACACCUGGCUUUCUGUCUAAGUUCUCUCCAACCAGGGCAGGAAGCUGCUUUUGGAAAAUGAAGGCCUGUGCCAAUUUGAACCAACAGAAGUGAUCUAAAGUCCAGAAAAUACCAUCUGGAGAAAAAAGACCCUUGGCGGAGGUGGAUCUGUGGUACCUGGAGGAGGUCGCCCGUCGUUUAUGUUGAAGGCUGUUGCAAAUAUACCAAAGGGAAACGCCCCAAUUCCAAAGGACAUCUGGAAGCCACCAUCACCAAAGCCAAAGCCCUGGAAUCCCUGCAGAGAACAAAGCAGCAGGAGACAAAAAAGGUCCUGCUGAAGAACUGUCCUACUGCCUUCUCCCACGUCUGCUCAGCCUGUGCCAGCUGCACUCCAUGUCAUCUCCUCAACAACACCAGAGAUCCCUCUCCACAUGAACAUGUAUCCAACAGAUACCUUCUUUCUUUUGCUUGUAAUGCCAUGGUACAGUAACAUCCCACAGAAAUUAUAGAAACAGGUUUCAGUGCCAGAAAUCCCAGUUCAUACAUGAAUUAUGUAUUUCCA